CCCGACACGGUGUAGUGGCUAACACUAUCGCCUUCCACGCGAUAGCCCGGGGUUCGAUUCCCCGUAUCGAAA
rnacentral:tRNA from 1 species